AAUUAAAUAUUAGGGUGUAAUUAUUGUUUCACUAAAAAUUUAUAUAAAACAUUUUUAGAUUUAGUAAAGGUGAUUAAAAUUUAUUUUAUUAUACCUGAGAAAAGUACUGUGAAGGAACAUAUAUAAAUUAUAAGAAAGAAAAAACUAAAAUUUGUACCUUUUGCAUCAUGGUUUAACUAGAUAUUUAUUUUGAAUUUAAAUGUCUCGAAACCUAAUGAGCUAUUUUUGCUCAAGAUAUUAGAAAUAAAAGAGUAGUUGUAGCAAAAACUUUCCUAGAAAUAAAAAUAGAAAUGAGAUUUUAUGCGUAUUAGGUGAUAGCUAGUUCUUCUAAAAGGCAUAUAAGUGCUUUAAAUUGAUUUUAUUUUCAUGAUAACAAAAUGAAAUAAACUUUGAUUUGGUUAGAUUUUUGAGGAUAAGCUCGAAAAUUGUAAAUUAUAUUUGCAUAUUAUUUUAAUUAAAAUCUAAGCUUGAAAAUAGCUACGAUUUUGAUUUUGUUACAAUUUCAUUAAAUUUAUAAAAAAAUAAUUAAUUUGCUUAUGUAUAAAAGAAGAAAACUUUAAAACUUAAAUAAGUUGAACAUAUGUUAAAAUGAGUAUUAAGUAAUUUAUAAAAUUUCAAUAUUAUAUACUUUGAAAUUUAUGUUUUUAUAUUAAAUUUAAAUUAUAAAAAGGAACUCGGCAAAUACAUAUUCUGCCUGUUUAGCAAAAACAUGGCUCCUUGUCUAAAGUAAAUAAGGAGUCGGACCUGCCCAGUGAAUUUUUUUAACGGCCGCGGUCCUCUGCCCGUGCAAAGGUAGCAUAAUCAUUUGCCUUAUAAUUGAAGGCUAGUAUGAAUGGUUUGACAAGAAUAUAGCUGUCUCUUUAUAAUUAAAUAGAAUUUUAUUUUUAGGUGAAAAAGCCUGUAUUAAAUUAAAAGACAAGAAGACCCUAUCGAGCUUUAAAAAAAUAAGUAGGUUAUUUUAUAAUAAUACUUAAAAAAUUAACUAUUAAAAAUUUUAGUUGGGGCGACUGAGGAACAAAAAGAGCUUCCUUUAAAAAUAGGAAACCAUACUAGUAUUGAUCCAGAAUUAUUCUGAUUAAAGAAAUUAGUUACCGUAGGGAUAACAGCAUUAUCUUUUUCAAGAGCUCUUAUCGAAAAAAAGGUUUGUGACCUCGAUGUUGGACCAGAAUAUCCUAAAGAUGCAGCAGUCUUUAAAGGUUGGUCUGUUCGACCAUUAAAAUUCUACGUGAUCUGAGUUCAGACCGGCGUGAGCCAGGUCAGUUUCUAUCUUUAAUUUUUUAAAUAGACUUAGUACGAAAGGACCAGCCUAUUGUAAUGUUAUUACUAAAUAUGAUAUUAUAUAAUUUAUAAUUAGAUAA
rnacentral:rRNA from 1 species